rnacentral:rRNA from 1 species
GACAGAGGGUGCAAACGUUGCUCGGAAUUACUGGGCGUAAAGCGCGUGUAGGCGGACCACCAAGUCGGACGUGAAAGCCCUGAGCUCAACUCAGGAACUGCAUCCGAAACUGGCGGUCUGGAGUAGUGGAGAGGAAAGCAGAAUUCCUGGUGUAGAGGUGAAAUUCGUAGAUAGCAGGAGGAACACCGGUGGCGAAGGCGGCUUUCUGGACACUUACUGACGCUGAGACGCGAAAGCGUGGGGAGCAAACAGG